GACGAACCGAGCGAACGUUGUUCGGAAUCACUGGGCUUAAAGGGCGCGUAGGCGGGUGCUCAAGUCCGGGGUGAAAUCCUCCAGCUCAACUGGAGAACUGCCUCGGAUACUGGGUGCCUCGAGGGUGGCAGGGGUAUGCGGAACUAUCGGUGGAGCGGUGAAAUGCGUUGAUAUCGAUAGGAACUCCGGUGGCGAAGGCGGCAUACUGGUCCACUUCUGACGCUGAGGCGCGAAAGCCAGGGGAGCAAAGCGGG
rnacentral:rRNA from 1 species